UUUAAUGGUUAGUUUUAUCUUAAUAAUUAUUUGAAUAGUAGGAAUAAUUAACAAAUGGGCGCAUAUUUUAAUCUCAUUCGCGGCAAAAUAAUAGAGCUUGGGCUCGAGCAACCCAUUUUAGGCUUAAUUUUGGACCUAACCCAUAAUUGUCAAGCCCAUAAUUCCUAGGCCCAUACCCCUUAACCUAAAAAUCCUACAACCUAGACUCUACACUAUAAAAGAAUGAUGAAGACUAAAGGAAAAGGGGGAACGAUAUACACGGAAAAGGAGCUGCGCAACCUUUUUAAAGAAAAAGGACCCUCCCUUUCGUUUUCUUCUGAAAAGGAACACCAAAGAAAAUGAUGAAAAAGCUGAAGGAGGAAGGCUGAAGAACGAGAAGCUGCGCAACUUCUAAAAGAACGACUCCCCCUCCCCCAGACUUUGGUCUCCUUCGAACACGACCCCCUCCCCCUCCAUCAGUCUGGUUUUCUUCUUCUCCAAAUCCUCUCACCAACCUAACGACCCUAGGGACUAAGAAAAACAGAGUAAUUGCAGCUUCUUCAACUCCUCUCGCCCACCAGCGGCGAACUCGCCGGAAAAUGCACAGCCAAAACUCGUCAUCACCCUAGCUCCUUUAUCACCUUCAACUACUUCACUCUCUCUCAUUGGAGAUAUCACCGACGACUCGUUCUAGUUCAAAACUACCGAGUCUCUGCCAAAGCUGGUCAAACAGGUGAAGUCUGGCGAGAGACCUGGCGAGUGUCGAGGUCCGGUCGUAAUUCCAUUGAGGUUUCCGGCGAAGCCUUGAUCUAAUGGUUCGAGGACAUCACCAGGUCAGUGGCUAGCAUUGGACACUUUGGUCUCCGAGAGAUUCAGGCAUUGUUGAUCCUGCUAGAGCGAGUUGAGAGCUCCCGGCAGACUUCGGAGUCCAUGAGGUAGCUACUUGGCGUCCGUAGUCCCGUGUUCCUCCCCCUUUAUCUCAUUUCCUUCUUUUUAUCAGUUAUUCUGUAAUAGUUUAGUAGGCAUUUCAGACUUGUAGUGUAUUAAUAGAUGCUCAUGACUAGUGACACCCCAGUAUCGGGCUGUGUUGGGUUUUAUUUCCGUAAACUGUAAUGUCUACUGCUUACUUUUGGAUUAGUUUAUUACAUUAUAGACUUAA